rnacentral:rRNA from 1 species
UUGGACUGCGGAGGACAUUACGAGUUUUGAAGGGGUUGUAGCUGGCCUUCCGAGGCAUGUGCACGCCCUGCUCAUUCCACUCUACACCUGUGCACUUACUGUGGGUCUCAGGCGAGCGUCGGUCGCUUCGCGGCGUCGUCGUUCAACUGGGCUCACGUUUUACUACAAACUAUUAAAGUAUCAGAAUGUCUACUGCGAAUUAACGCAUUUAAAUACAACUUUCAGCAACGGAUCUCUUGGCUCUCGCAUCGAUGAAGAACGCAGCGAAAUGCGAUAAGUAAUGUGAAUUGCAGAAUUCAGUGAAUCAUCGAAUCUUUGAACGCACCUUGCGCUCCUUGGUAUUCCGAGGAGCAUGCCUGUUUGAGUGUCAUGAAAUUCUCAACCUAACGAGUCUUUGCGGGCUCGGUAGGCUUGGACUUGGAGGUUCUUGUCGGCCUAACGGUCGGCUCCUCUUAAAUGCAUUAGCUCGGUUCCUUGCGGAUCGGCUCACGGUGUGAUAAUUGUCUACGCCGCGACCGUUGAAGCGUUUUGGCCGGCUUCUAAUCGUCUCGUUGGAGACACUACUCUUUAUGACCUUCUGACCUCAAAUCAGGUAGGACUACCCGCUGAACUUAAGCAUAUCAAAAAGGGGGAAGAAA